rnacentral:rRNA from 1 species
CGAACUGUGCAAACGUUAUUCGGAAUCACUGGGCUUAAAGGGUGCGUAGGCGGUCUUGUAAGUAGGGUGUGAAAGCCCCCGGCUCAACCGGGGAACUGCGUCCUAAACUGCGAGGCUAGAGUGAGGUAGGGGUGUGUGGAACUUCCAGUGGAGCGGUGAAAUGUGUUGAUAUUGGAAGGAACGCCGGUGGCGAAAGCGACACACUGGACCUUGUCUGACGCUGAGGCACGAAAGCCAGGGGAGCAAACGGGAUUAGAUACCCCGGUAGUCCUGGCCGUAAACGCUGAGUACUAGUGGGGAGGGACCUGCGUCCUUCCUCACGGAGCGAAAGUUUUAAGUACUCCGCCUGGGGAGUAUGGUCGCAAGGCUG